ensembl:lncRNA
CUAGGGGAACCGGACAUAACAAAUGGUGCCCCCCUCUUUUCCCCACUCCCAAGGACGACCAGGCACACAGGGCUGCAGUCUAGCAUAAGGUAAUAGGCCUAUCUCACAAAAAUCGGAAAUGACGUCACACCGGGUAAACAUUCUUCCGGCGUAGUCAUUUUUGUAUUGCCGUCAAUGCAAAAAUGGAUCAUUUCUUCGCCACUUCCCUGGUGGGUAUUCCCAAAUUGCGAUUCGAAGAUGUGCAGAAGAUUGUGGAGACACACUCGGCAACACCACAGCCCAGGCUGACAAAGGGGUACAAGUUUUUUGUGGAGGAGUUUGUACACAAUUAUCAAGAUCACCCUGGAGGCUGUUGGACAACUGGGUCUCUCAGAGCUGUAGCUGUGCUGCGGGCAAAGGCUUCUGUAGCCAUAUAACCGCUCUGCUGUUCCAGACAGCGCAUUAUGUGCAGCUGGGCCUUGAUGUGGUUCCACCUUCCCUGGCCUGUACCAGUCAACCACAGAUGUGGCAUCGACCUCGAACCCACGUGUGCUGUUGUGUCCUCUGUUCAAAUCAUACACUUCAGUAUUUGUCUAGAGUAUAUGAGCAUUUCCUGUAUUGUUGUUCGCCUCAGGGAAUCCAUCCAGAGGCUGUGAGUGACCUGGUGGUGAAGAAACCCAAGUCGGUGGGGAAGACUGGAGUCAAGUCCACACUCUACAGAGCGUAUGCUGGUAAGACAUUUGUUUUGCAAUUUGCACUCUGUUAAACUUGCUCAUUAUGAAAAGAUGCAUAUUAGAAUACAUCUGUUAUCACUACAAUAUAAAAAAAAAGUCACAUUUUUAUUUGACGUUUCGCCCUUUGAUGUCCCACAUCCUAGAGGGAAUAUCCAGCUUGGAGUUGGUACCAUCUCAGCUGUGCUGACCUGGAAGAUGUCAGCAAUGACCUGUUCUUUAAGGCCAGUUGCUACUCUACAACAGUAGAUGAAAAACUCAUCAAUGACUGGAAUCUUCCUUGAAGGGCGUGGUGUUGGAAUCGCCUCUUGUCCAAUCCUCUGUGCUUUGCUCCAAUAAAGAAUAUAUUGUGUUGAGGGGCAAAACAGACUCCCAAAACACUUGAAACACUUCUUGAGAUGGAAACCGAGUAUAAUAUGUCAUGGUCUGAUCAGACACACAAAACCUGUUGAGGACAGUUUGUGGCCCCAUGGACAUUUCUUGCAGCCUUGCCUCCAGCUCAGCAAUAUACUCCAGGGCAUCAUCCAGUGCACCUACAAAAAAAGAAGACAAAUCAGUCUUCAUUACCAUUCAUUCGUAUUCACCCUUUCUUUUUAUUGUAUUGUUAUUCUGUAUACUUAAGUUUAUUUAUAUUUAUUAUUAUUACAUUUAUUUGUACUGUUUUCUGUUUUUCUUUUUUAUGUAUUAACUAUAGGUUGAGUGUUGUACAUAGAGUAAAAACCAAAGUCAAAUUCCUCGUUUUUUUGCAAACCUGGCCAAUAAAGCUGAAUCUGAAUUAAUAUGCAACCCCAGUUUAACAGUACGUCUGAUGUUGAUUGAAUGUUUUAACGUUAACCAUGCCAUGUUUGGCAAAAUUAUACAAUAGCCCAACAAGUGUUGAACACAAAUAACAGACAUAACAGCUAGUUAGCACAUCUACUUACCGGCAGGGGGGCGUCUCGCGUAGUCAUGUUCCCCGGUACCUCUCCGGUCCGUUUGUGUUUUGUCCUCUCCUUCAGCUUUUCGAGCUGACACCCGUUUAUACACGGGUGUUUUUUUCGGGGCUGUGGUGUAGCUGUUCCAGUCAAAACGACUAGGAACAGCUCCAGUAUUCACCAGUGUACUCCCCUUCUGAAUUACGAAAUUAACUCCUUCAUUCCGUCUGAUCGCCACUGCUGUAUUGGGUAUUAUUUGGGAAGUCGUGGAAAUGUAAAUACGGUUGUUUUUGUUUUGAAUUGGCGCAUAGAGGUACACAACAGAAGCUUUUGUUUUUUGACCGCGCCAUUGUCAAAUAUCAUGGACUACGCUACCGGAAGUCACUUUACCCGGUGAAGGCAAAAUCGAACGCCGAACCAGGAAGUUGUGAGAUAGGCCUAUUUAUUCAAUAGGCCUUAUGCGCAACAUUCUUCCGGGUUCCACAAAACAGUGG